rnacentral:rRNA from 1 species
CAGUAGCCGCGGUAAUACAAAGGGUGCAAGCGUUAAUCGGAAUUACUGGGCGUAAAGCGUGCGUAGGCGGUUUGUUAAGUCUGUUGUGAAAUCCCCGGGCUCAACCUGGGAAUGGCAAUGGAUACUGGCAAGCUAGAGUGUGUCAGAGGAUGGUGGAAUUCCCGGUGUAGCGGUGAAAUGCGUAGAGAUCGGGAGGAACAUCAGUGGCGAAGGCGGCCAUCUGGGACAACACUGACGCUGAGGCACGAAAGCGUGGGGAGCAAACAGGAUUAGAUACCCGAGUAGUCCCUGUCUCUUAUAC